GUCUGUGACUGUACCACCCUGAACGCGCCGGAUCUCAUCUGAUCUCGGAGGCUAAGCAGGGUCGGGCCUGGUUAGUACCUGGAUGGGAGAAGAGUGGUGCUGGGGAAG
ensembl:rRNA 5S_rRNA 5S ribosomal RNA